GUGACAUUCAGCAGGAAAGGGGAGAAGCAAACACUGAGAAGCCCAGCACUGUGCUGGUUUACUUGAUUUGUUUUUGUAAGCCGUCUCGGCUACCACCCAGUGAACCUGUGCAGCCCCGGUGGAAUGAUGCUGGCAGAUGGCCUGGAUAGCAAACCCCAGAAGCAGCCCUGGAUUUGCAGCGACGAAGAAAUGUUCCACUGAGCUGUCCCCUUGCCAAAGGAUAUUUGCCUGGCACAGUGACAAGGAAGACCCCUUCCUCCCUGCUCGUAUAUGGCAAAGUUUCUUGCGGAGCUCCUAGGCUGUGCACUGCCUGAUAAGGGCAGCUCUUCUGGGCGUGAGAUCUAUAUGACUGAAGCUGGGAACAGCACUGAGAAGAAGUAUAGAGAGUCUGAUAGGAGCUUCUCUGAUGUGUAUUUUUUUUUUCCAAAUACAGUGCCCUAAGGUACAGAAAGCAAUUUUGUGUUAUCUCUGUCCUCUGAGACAUUGAUUGGGUAUGCUAACCUGGAGCAUACUAUGCAAAAGGAAGUACGACCCCACUCAGGAUGAGCCUGCAUUGGACAGAAGGUCUGUAUUUGCAGCCUGAACCAGCUGCCAGUGAUCAUAGCCAGUGGCUCAGCAAGAGAGCCAGCUAAUGCAAGGUAAUAAGAUUAAGUGCAGAUUUAUGAGGCUUGUGUGGGAGCAUAUACUUGACAAAUAUAAAGAGGGCAGCAACAAGUUAGAUAGCAGUGCUGCAGAAAAAGGAUGUGUAAUGAGUGAGGUGGGAAAAUAUUUUCCUACUGAAAAAGAUGAUCACUGAAAAAGUAAAAUAUGAAUUCCUAAUGUGCAACUUUUGAAGCCCAAUUGCUGUCAGUCUCCAGAGGAGUUGUAGAUAUCUAGAGGCAGCUUAUUGUAUCUCAUCUUUGAGAGAAGCACAUAAAUGUUCUGAUAUAAAAACACAUCCCCUUUGGUCUCAAACUAAAUGUAAAAAUUAAAACGAUUAAAGUUCCUAAAGUAAUGAAAAUCCAAAGUCCUACCCAAAUUCUUCUGCUGAUAAGGUCAGAAUAUACAGGUUAAUUGCAGGUGUGUAUGGUCAGAGAAGCUAACCAGUGAUUGAUAAGCUAGGAUAAAGUACCUCCUUAACUGAGAAGCUGGAAGGUGAUUGAACUAGCUGGAAGUGCCUCAGUUGAGUAUAUGAUUCUGCUAAGUUUUGAGCAAGCCCAUAGCAUUUUUCUUGUAUUUCAUGCAUCUGUACUAUUUGAUAGGUGAUUUCGCUUAAAGCUUGUGGUCAUCUUUACUGAAUUACUCAAAAUUUGUGCAGCUGUCCUCAUUGGAGAGGAACCUGGAGGUAAAAGUCUUUUUUUGGCAGGGCUGUGCUCAAUCCUUUUGUCUUUCAGCUUGUAUUGGCAGUGCAGGUUGCCAUGAUUCAGGUGCAAGACCUUGCACUUGGAUUUGUUGAACCUCAUUAUGUUCUCCUGGGCCCAUUGCUUGAGCCUGUCUAGGUCUCUCAGGAUAGCAGGAACAGCCUAUCCGUCAUCAAGUCUUAAAUGAAGGAAAUUAAGUACUAAUGAAGGGCUAUUGGGUUGUGCAAUGUUAUAUUUAGUUUUAAUUACUGAAAUUCUCUUUGAGACUCCAGACCUUAGGAUUCAGGACACGCUAUUCCUAUUUUCUUAAAAAUUGAAUGACUGAACAAAAUGGUUACAGAGGUGGUUAACUUAUUCUCUGAUUUUUUAUUUUAUUUUUUUUAUCAAUGAAGGUGUAGAGUAAGAUCAUGAACUGUGAUGUAUGUAUCUAUUAAAAAUUUCUAGGUUUGGGGGGAGCUCCAGGUCAAUUCCUCAUGAGGGAGCAGAAUAGUCUGCCUGUUUUCUUACUAGAAUUGUCUCUUGUACCACUGGCUACUGAGCACAUGCAUGGAGAGAGGAGGGCUUAAACUGCAUACUUUGGGUAGCAUUUUGCCGCUACCUAAUAAAAAUUUGAGUCUUCCUUCAUCAGGAAUAACACACUGCAUAAUUGCUUUCCUUAACUUUUGUUACUUCAGUUUCCACAGGCUUUAUCUAGAAAUACAGGUUUCAGUAAUCUCAGGUUGAAUUAGCAUCAUACAAGUAUGUGGUUUGAGUGCUAAAUAAACCUUGCAGAAUUUAAAGACAAUAAUGAACAGAUAAUAAAGAAAAUACAUAUUACAUAUUAGAAAAAUACAUAAUUCGUAAUAGAAUGUCAUGAAUAGAGACUGAACCCAGUAACCUGUUGAAAAUGAAAUUUAUUUGUAGUUUGAGAGCUAUGAAGGUCCUAAAAAUCUGGCUAAGAAUAGAGUAUGAUACAAGGGACUUACCAGUAUAAUUUGUCCAAAUAUCUAUCUUAAUUUUGAAACCAAUGAGUUCAUUUUUUUUUCUGUGGUUGAGUACAUGCAAAUACAAAGGGAAAUCCCAAGCUAAAUCACUGAUUGUCCCUAGGUCUUGUAGUUACGGCAGAAGUCCAGCAAAAUGUUAUGCCAAAUGGAGAAACUGGCUCUGUAGAAGCAUUCGGUCAGAAGAUUGUACUGAUUUAGUCACACCCAGGGUUUUCCCUGUUGUUCAGUCUUCCCUCACCGGUGACACAGAACUAGCUUAGAGAGUUACUUGGAUGAUGAUGUGAUUUGUUGUCUUAAUUACAUGCAAAUGUGAUCAGAGAAGUUUACCCACAAGGGAAUGUUACAGGUGCUCAUACAUAACCACUUUGCAAUUGCACAAAGGAAAGUUCCUCUUGAGACCUUGAUGUAAAUCAAAUAGUUGAACGGAGGUUCAAUGUCAGGCAUACUAAAAUGUCAGGAUUACUAGUUGGGCUUGCUUGUACCAAGUAACAAGCUUUUCUUAUUAUUCUUGGUUUAAUUGUAAUCUGAAUGCAAAUGAAAUGUAAUUUGGAUACUACUUCAAAUGGAUUUUGGCUGUAAAGUACUGAGACAGUAAGAAGGUAUAAAUGUUUGGGCUUUGAAUUGAGGGGAUUAAGAAUACUAGUUACUACUGCUUAGUGGUGAAUUUGAGAACAGACUUAUCAGACACAUUAAUACAUAGCUGUCAGGUCACAUUAACUGCCAGGAAGGAGAAUCUUGAGAAUGCCUGAAUCAGUAGCUUAAAAACAAAUUUCAUGUUUGAUAAGAAAGGUAGUGCUGAAGACUGAAAUUCAGUAGCAUGGUUCAGAGAAAUUCACUAUUAUCCAGUAUCACCCAGAAAUGUUUUCCCAAAG
rnacentral:lncRNA from 1 species